GCGUGGGCCGGGGGUUGCCUUGGAGUCUGGCGCCCACCUUGUUUCCCACUCCCUGCCUUCCCGCUCCGGGAGCCCGUCCCUGGCCGAGCCCCAAGAACCUGAUCCAGCGGGAGUCCCCGAAGUUUGCUCCCUUUGGGUUUAAAAAAAAAAAAGUUGCCGCUCGCCAGCCCAACUUUUUCUUUACGUGGAGGAGCGCAGAGCGCGUCUCCUGGGUGGAGACUUCACUUCCAGUCCAGCCAGAUGGGGCGCCCAAGACUGUGGCGGACAUGUGGAGGGACCUAGGAUCUGCUUACCACCUUCCUGGGGACAGCAGAUUGGCACGGAUGCUUAUCUAGGGUGGGGCUUCCAAGAGGACCCCAAAGGCUUGGGCAUGGGCCAUAGGGGUUAGGGAUCAGGCGAGGUCUGGCUCCAACAUCCACCCUGCUCUAGGGCCUUCAGGCUUCCCGGGCCUGGGAGGCUACCCCAAGCCUGACUCAUUCCCCCCAACCUCCUCCAGGGCUGCAGGGCUCUGGUUUAGAAAGAAGGAAUCAGUGUGCAUUAAGGAGGCUUUAAACGUUAAGCCUCCCGCGCUGCCUUUGAAAAAAAGCUUCAGUCUGCAAGGCCCUCCGCAAUCCUGUCCAUCCUGUCCGCGCAGACUCUGUGUGAAAUUCCCCAACUCCCUUCAACCCCGUGCUUCGGUAAAGGGGAGAAAGAGGGAAGACAGGCAGAGGCCAGGUCAGCGCUAACUGAAGGGUUAUGCAUUGCGUUUCAUCUCCGUGUCUGCCACAUAGACGCUUGUCUUUCCUAGGUGCCAAAUAAUUGCACAGGAAACAGUGACAGAAUCUGUGUGUGCUGAGAAACAGUUCAGCUGCAGGCCCUGCCAAGUGUCCAGGCAGGUUGACUCCCCGCCAAGAGUUCAGGUCCUUUUGGAGCAUGAACGUGGCCCCAUGGUGUGGGCAGAACUGCAUGCACCAGCGGGGGCAGCUCGGGGGGCUCCAGCCUGGCAAAGAGCAGCCUUCAGGGGAGAUGUGGAGAGGACAGGUGUGUGCAGCCAGGUGUCAUGGGGGCAGUGGGGUUGGGCGAGCCCUAGGGAUCAGCACCCUGCAUUUCCAUGUUCCCUGCAGGUGGUUCUCGGCUUCCCUUGGGAGCCGCAAGGCUGUGCUUCCAGCCGGAGUGCACCAGGCUUGCUCAGCUCUUAAUGGGGGCACCCCAGCAUCCACAGAGCCCCUCUCUAUACCUGCAGUCCAGCCA
rnacentral:lncRNA from 1 species